UUCGAACCCGAAUAUCAAGCAGGAUGUGUAUUAAUUCCCUGUCCAGAACCAGCCAGGGUACAUAAACAAUAAUUUGAUACAGUUCCACGACUUACAAAAAUAACAAAAUAAAACUUAUACGCAGCGGAAAAACUAAAGAACUAGACUUAAUUUUCACGACCAAAGCGAAGUUUCCUCCAUAGACCACACAGGCAACCCUCGACGUCUAGAACAAGCUCAAUCCUCAGAGAACUCAUCAUCUGAACCGACUUCUGCUUCUGGGGGGGAGGAUUAAGCAAGACUGCGUACCAACCACCGUACUCAAGUCAUACCAACGGGAAGGUAUGAUGCAAGGAUAUUCAAAGGAAUGGCUCAAAGGCUAGUUUGCAGUAAAAGCAGCAUUUAUAAAUCAUAAUUUGAAAGAAGUAAAAAUAGUAUAAGUAAUUAAGCAAUAUUAACAUCAUCACUGUCCAACGAUAUAUCCACGUUGCAACAAGCCCAACCAAAACCACCUAAACUACACCAGUUCUAAAAGUCAAAUUAUUAAGUGGGACUAAUAACGGUGAGCUAGUUGAUCGCCCAAUAACCAUGGGCACAGCUAUUCGAAUAGUUUACUCUGAUCAGAGGUGUACAACUUUACUCACAAGACAUGAUUCCACACAUGUUACCAUGCCCCGAAGUACCACUGCGAUACUGCAAAGGGGAAAAUCAUGAUAAAACCCUUCAUAUAACUCUCCCUAACCGAACAUACCCACCUCAGGUUUCACCCCCUCCUUAUGCCAAGUCGGGCAGUCCGCUCUCGUGCCUAGGUAAAUCCGGCUAUAGCAAAGCCCAAAAUCCAGGUCCGAACUGCACCACCUCCUCUACCCUUGCCAUGGUAUGUUAUCUAGGUUAAGUUAUACUCUAGAUUCAGCCUGGAGUCCAUCUGGCAUGUGGUGAGUACGAGUAUAUAUUCUAGGGAUUCUCGAGAACCGAUCCUUAAUUGUCAUGGGCACGACUUCCAGAACUCAUGCGUGUACCCACGACCCACCAUUAAAGCAAAUUUUAGUUUAAUUAAACCAUAACCAUGGUGGUACAUCAAAAUAUAAUUAAGGACUGAAUUAAAAUGAAUUCCAUUGUGAGCUAGUUGGUCUAAACAUGGCUAAGCAUUCCUAAACCAAUCAUCUAGUCAAUUAUAACCCAAGUUAUCAAUGGCAUAAGAUAAUCAACAGGCUGAGAAUAAUAGGCAUACAUCCCACAUGACAUUCUAAAAGGAUGCAAUUUGAUAUAAAGCAGGGGAUUUUGUAAAAUAGGCUCAAUAUGAUCAAUGAUGUAUGUAUGACUUGCCUUGCUCUUGAGCUGACUGAACCUCGGCAAACACUUCGAAAUAAACAGGAGCGCCGGAAUUGAUGGAAUCUAAACGACAAACAAAGCACACAAGAAAUACAAGCAAUAAGGCUACUGAAACAGAAAAGAAACAAAUUUUAAUGGAUUCACUGCAAUUUGAAUGGACAAAAACGGAGCUCGGAUUAUUGAGUUAUGAAUUUUACAAGAUGAGUCGUGUUAUUACUAAUAACAAAAAAACCAUAGUCAAUUAUUACAUAUUAAUGCCCAAAUUAAAUAGAUCAAUGGAAUUAAACCUCCGGUAAGCAAGCCUCGUGAGUUAGCGACUCAACGAGUCAUCACAUCGUGUCACGGGACCAUCCAAAUGGUCAACCAAACCGGCGAAUGGAACCAGCGCUCAGAACGACAAUGGGAAAACUAGACAUGGUUUACGGCAGAGACUCGGCACGGCAAACGAUAGGUCGGUAAGAAUUUAGUGCUGCACCUACGGCUUUGCAACUCGGCUACCGAGCUACCACACAGCAACAAAUCACAACAACAGCGCGGGAAAGCGGCGGCGGCAGCGGCGGCUAAAGAUGCACGGUGGCAGCGGCUUGGCUCUGCUUGGGCUCAGCCGGUGGCAAGGCAGCGGUGGUGGCGUGGCACCGACGGCGGCGGCAGCUAGGCAGCGGCGGCGUCAACUCAACUAGAGCGGCGACUCGUCUAAACUAGGGUUAAGCUAAACAACUACACAACAAACUAAACAUAGGAGGUGAUGGAACGGAUUCCUCACCGAGAGAACAACGGCGACGGCGAGGGAAAUGGCAACGACGGCAACCCGGCGAGGAUGACGACGACGAUGCUAGAGGAAGCCUAAUUGGAGUAGAUUAAACGGAUGGGUUAGGGUUACAGCCAAAACUUCACCAACACAAUUGUAUGGAAGCUCACCGGCGACGCGAAGGCGAUGACGACGGUGGCAACAGGAGGCGGCGGCGUGGCAACAGGAGGCAGCGGCGCUAGGACUCCAACUAAAAGAAAAAAAAAGAAAAACAGGGGUAGGGUGGCUUAUAUAUGGGUGGAGGUAAAAGAGGUGGGGCUAGAGUGGAGUCAUCAGAGGGGAGGGGGAGUUGAACUCGGCUCGGCAGGGGAGAGGGCGCGCGCGCAGGGAGGUGGAGAGAGGGGGCGGCGGCUGAAUAGGAUAGGGAGAGGGGAGGAAAAAUAGGAAUAGGAGGUCAGGCAGAGGGCUUUCCUAAAAAGGAAAACAAAUGCGAUGCCAUUUUAGAAAAAGAACGGAAACGGUCCCGCGAACAAAAACGGACACGGUUCGCCAUGCAAAACGAAACCGCGGACAAAGAGGGGAGUGAAUCGGGCACGAUUCACGACCAAAGGCUGAAGAGAACAGAAUUAAUUACUACAAAUCUUGACAACUUAAUUAGCAACAUUAACUCCGAUGCUCUGUAAAUUCCGCUUUAAGUCCUGUUAAUGAUUUUAGGAGCAAAGAGAAUUCGAAAAAAAUUCUCCCUGACAAUUCCAAUUAUUAAAUACAUUGUUAAUUUAGGUUUUCUCCUGGUUAACCAAAAUAAUUUCUUUAGACGAAUUAUUGUUGAAUUGGAACCACGGGAAAGGGGAAAACUCCGGUUGUGACAACAAGUCUCUAAUCCAUCAUUAAACCAGAUUAUAAUGGCAUUCGCCAAGUCUAGGACAACAACAGAAAACAACUGGAUGUUUCUAACAGAGCAUUGCUAACUGUAAUUCUAAAAUUUCUAAGCACAUCAUAUGGAGUUCUCACUAGCUGGUUUUUGUUACCUAGGGUUAUCAAAGGUAAUUACAUAAUAUUUAGUAAAUAAAGCCAAAACAAGAAAAUAUAGGAAAGGCUAAGUAAGUAAAACAGUUAUAGUGCAGUAAGUUUAAUAAAGCGAAUGCGAUAAUUCAAAUUAAAAUACAUUUCGCAUAUUGUGGUGCAAUAUGCUUAAGGAGAACGUGACUUGCCUUGCUCAGAGAAAAAUGGUCUUCGGAGGCUUCAUAGACGAACUCAAAUUGCACCACAGGAACAUAUGAAACAACAACAACUACACCCAACAAAAGAAGGCUAAAUCUCUAGAAAGAAACAAAGAUAGUAAAAGAACAACAUACAUGGGUUGUUUAAGUUAUAACAAAAAUUAAGCAACUUAAACAACCAAUUUGGAGCUCAUAUGGCUGAGAAACGACCAUCCAAAAUUACACGCUAUUUAAGUGGAGAUUUUCAUGUUAUUUAAUUAGUAUUAUAUCAUUAAAUUAUGUGCAAUGCAACAACGCUCUAGGAGAGAAAGGAUCGUUCCACUGGCAAACGACCAUAUGAAAUUAUAUGUCAUUUAAGUGGAGAUUUUCAUGUUAUUUAAAUUGUAUUAUAUCAUUAUAUUAUAUGCAAUGAAACAACGCUCCAAGAGAGGAACGAUGGAGUUCCUACUGGCAGCUGAGACCCAUGGGUCAGACGACUAGCUUACCGUGGAUCGGGUUUACCGUGGCUCCGUCCCCAUCAGCUGCCGCUCAGGCCGAGCUCGUGCUUGUGCGAGAAGAGAGAGGGGAGAGAGAACGUGGGACCCACUAGAUGGACGGCCGGCUUGACGGGCUAGAGUUGGCCAGCGGGUACUCAGGUUUGGCUAGCCAGAUGGCUUAGCCAUUCAGUUGGAGAGACCGUUGGAGUAUGUUUUUUUUUUGUCAAAAUUGCUAAAAUUUAGCUUGGCCAGCCAUUUGUCUAUUCUAUUCGAGUUGCUCUAAGGGUGUGUUUAGUUCAUGCCAAAAUUGGAAGUUUGGUUGAAAUUGGAACGAUGUGAUAGAAAAGUUGGAAGUUCAUGUAUGUAGGAAAGUUUAGAUGUGAUGAAAAAGUUGGAAGUUUGAAGAAAAAGUUAGGAACUACUCCCUCCAUUCCAAAUUGAUCUACAUAUUAGGUACACUAAGACCAAUAAAAACUAAUAACUCUCUUAUAAAAUAUUUACUCUAGCAAAAACUCAACGCAUACACCAUUCUCACUAUUUCCUAGCCAAUAGCAAAUCAAGAUAUUGUAUAUGGGUUAUAAAUACUUGUGAUGCAUGCAUCAAUGUCCAUUUACUCUAAUGCACAAAUAACUAAUAGUCUUAAUGAAUGAACACAAAUAUUUAGAUCAUUUAGGAAUACCCUAAAAAAAACUAUAUGUAGAUCAAUUUGGAAUGGAGGGAGUAAUCAAGACCUAAAACAGUUAGUGGCGACGCCGAGCGAGGUGGUGGCAUGGUCCUGCAGCGCCCAGGGCGACGCCAGUAGGCGGCUGGAGGUGGUGCAGCGGCGGUGGCACUUGAGCAGCAGCGCACGGCGUGGAGAGGCACGGGCUGGAGGCAGAAGGAGAAGAAGGGAAGGAGGGGGCUCCAUUUAUAGGCCGGGAGGAGGGAGGGGAACGGCCGGGGAGCUCGUUGGCCGGCAAUCAAUGGCGGCAGUUCGCCGGAGAUUAAAUUCAGCGAAUAAAGGUCGAAAUGAAAGGGGAAAACAUGGGGGGAAUAAAGAAUAGGAGGUGGGGAACCGAUUUUUGCAAUCAAUGUGGAGGAGAAACGGCCGAGGAGGCGGAUCAACUCGGUGGCGGCUCUAGGGUUACGCGGCCGGGAAGAGGAGCGGUCGGCAGCUGGAGGAAGACGACGAC
rnacentral:lncRNA from 1 species